GGGAGAGAAACUGGUGAACUGGCUUUGUUCCAUACAUUAUACCAAGAGGCCAUGAAAGACGCCCUUUGUUUUAUUGAGACAUAUCAAAUCUUAGUUAGAGCAAGGAUUCAUGUCAAUAAUGCAUUCGGUGUACAUACUCCUGAAUUGACUGUCUCAUUUUUAUAUAAGAUAAAAUAAAAUAUGCUAGGCUACAUGCACAUGUCCAAACUGCAGGCUAAACAAUGUUAUACGGCAGGUAUGGCUAUCCAGUCAUGGAAAUAUGCAUUUUAGGGAAAAUGAAGAUUGGUCAAACGUGAAGUAUGUGGAGGCUUAAAACCAACAAAUAAUACAAAAACCUGCUAUAUAUGCUAGUAUUCUAGUAAAGCACAUUAGACAAAAGAAGAUAGCUCUGAAUAAUGGCGCAACAUACUAGGUAAACUACAUAAAGAUAUAUACUGCUGGUCACUAAUAAAAUAAACGCAAAGUAAAAUAGAAAGG